CCUACGGGGGACAGCAGUGAGGAAUAUUGGUCAAUGGGCUUACGCCUGAACCAGCCAAGUCGCGUGAGGGAAGACUGCCCUAUGGGUUGUAAACCUCUUUUGUCAGGGAGCAACGCCGGCUAAGUGUAGCAGGAGUGAGAGUACCGGAAGAAAAAGCAUCGGAUAACUCCCUGAAAGCAGCCGCGUGAAUACGGAGGAUGCGAGCGUUAUCCGGAUUUAUUGGGUUUAAAGGGUCCGUAGGCGGAAUGCCAAGUCAGCGGUAAAAUCGCGGGGCUCAACCUCGCUCCGCCGUUGAAACUGGCGUUCUAGGGGGGGCGAGAAGUAUGCGGAAUGCGUGGUGGAGCGGUGAAAUGCAUAGAUAUCACGCAGAACUCCGAGUGCGAAGGCAGCAUACCGGCGCCCAACUGACUCUACCACACGAAAGCGUGGGUAGCGAACAGGAUUAGAUACCCCAAGUC
rnacentral:rRNA from 1 species